GUCGCAUUGGCGCAAUGGUAGCGCGCAAGACUUCUAUCCCUGACGGAAUCUUGAGGCUGUGGGUUCGAGCCCCACAUGCGAUG
rnacentral:tRNA from 2 species